rnacentral:rRNA from 1 species
UAGGGAAUCUUCGGCAAUGGGGGGAACCCUGACCGAGCAACGCCGCGUGAGUGAAGAAGGUUUUCGGAUCGUAAAGCUCUGUUGUUAAGGAAGAACGAGUGUGAGAAUGGAAAGUUCAUGCUGUGACGGUACUUAACCAGAAAGGGACGGCUAACUACGUGCCAGCAGCCGCGGUAAUACGUAGGUCCCGAGCGUUGUCCGGAUUUAUUGGGCGUAAAGCGAGCGCAGGCGGUUAGAAAAGUCUGAAGUGAAAGGCAGUGGCUCAACCAUUGUAGGCUUUGGAAACUGUUUAACUUGAGUGCAGAAGGGGAGAGUGGAAUUCCAUGUGUGGCGGUGAAAUGCGUAGAUAUAUGGAGGAACACCGGGGGCGAAAGCGGCUCUCUGGUCUGUAACUGACGCUGAGGCUCGAAAGCGUGGGGAGCGAACAGG